UGGAAGAACAGAGGAGUUCUGCACAGCAGUCUGUGUCCAUGUGAUGUCCCAGUUCAUUACUCUCUCCCCUUGGCCCAGGUCAGCACAUGAUGAGCUCCAUCCAAUCCAAAAAGGAAGAGGCCACAGAACAGGCGACACAGAAAAAUGUUAAAUGAUAUAAUUGAAGAAAACUUUACCGAAAUAAGUAAUGGGCCUCUCAGAAGGAAAAUGUGAAUGGAAUGAGCAGCACCAAUGAACGCUGCCGUGAAAAUCCUGAAGUUCAUGAGUAAGAAAGGAGCCCUAUUGGCUUCUAGGAGAACAUGCAAAUUUCAAGGCAUAAAGGCAUAUUCUAGAAUUUUCCACAGCUGAAGUCAGUGCUGGGAAAUGAAUAUCUACCAAGUGGUGAAGAAUAAUGUCUGGGAUGACGUUUACCAAAUAUUGAUGACCACGGCCACUUGAGUAGUGGAAUUUUGGAUAAUUUUUUCCCCGCUGGCUCUUUCGCGCUUUUUUUGGUGUUGCUGGAGUAUUUUCACAAUGCUCAUAUGUGAAGUGUAUUCACUGAAUAAAGCCUAUAUUCCCCACCAAAAAAUGAAGCCAUCACAGUGGAAGAAAAAGCAAAGCUAAUUUCUAAAAUUGGGAGUUGCCUAUCUGGCCACCCAUUCUCUGGACUCAGAUGCUAAUCAUGGCUGUAAAUUGACUUUACCCAUCCCACCAGAUUUCCCCAAGAAUAUCUGAAGUGCUUUACAAUUCAGGUUGAAUCUAACGGGGACGGAGCCCAUACAUCACAGUAAAGGACAAGUGCACAAACCCUGGGACCCCUUUCCUUGGAGAUUUUCAGACAUGGAGGCAGGUAUGAUUACAAUAAACGCAUCUAUCGUGACUCAUUUAGACACUGAUUUGGUGUCCUCUACUGAGUCACUUCCCAUAGUAUCCUGUAAUGACAAUGUGCAAUUUAAACACAAUUUAAAGGGGCCCCUGGGUGGCUCAGUCGGUGGAGCGUCCGACUUCGGCUCAGGUCACGAUCUCACGGUC